rnacentral:lncRNA from 1 species
CGGAGGACGGUGUCUUUCUAAUAACAAUGGAGUUACACACGAAGAGCCGUAAUGCACUGCUAAGACUACUUCAGUAUGAAUGGGAAGGUUCAUACCCUUAGUGGAAACAUCUGAAGGGUUUCUUCAGCGGUGUAGCCUCUGAGUUUCCAGGAAAGGUAACUGGAAAGAUUGGGAAGCAGAAUGUGAAGAUGUCAUGAAGAUGUGAAAGAAAUACAGCCGAGUCUCAAAGGGUACCUCACCAUUCCUGGAAUCCUCAUCAGGUUUCGUACCAGACAUUGGUCCCUCUCAUUACUUAUGCUGAGAAUGUUGAAUCAGUUCAGAAGCUGUUGGUUAUCCCCCCAAAGUGUCAAGCCUUUAUUACUGAG